rnacentral:sRNA from 1 species
ACGCGCAGCCACAAGAGGGACAGGUCCCGUU